CUUCCUUUCUACUUCGGGCAAAUCUACUGUUCCACGCGAGACGCGCUCCUUCUUGUUGCCCUAACUCGCGCGUUUCCUCCUCCUUCCCGCCUCUUCUCUCCCCCUCCCCCCCCCCGCUCUCUUUCGCCCUCGCCUAUCAUUUUGCUUUCGGGUAUGUUCCCCUUUCGUUCGAAGGUAGCACGAAUCUACGCGCUCAUCCGAUAGAAACCGAUAAGAAACGUUCGACAUGCACACGAGGGAUUCCCAUCAGGGACGAUCGGACCCCGGUAUUCCGCAGAUUCGAAUCGUUGAUUCAAUGAUUCGAAUUUUUUGGAGGAUGUAAACAUUGCGGUCAUUUUCGACCCGUUCGAUUAGAAAAGCCGGUAACAACGAUAAUUAACGAUGAUAAAAAUGACGAGUUUGAAUAUAUCGAUACGAGAUCACUUCACUAGCGAAUUAAUCAUUUGUUUAGAUUAUUCGAAUUAUUUACAUUUAAAAUAUCUAAGAAGAACGGACGAAAGGAAAUUAUUGGAUGAAGGAAGAUGGAGAUAAAUGAUAUUCGUGACUCGAAAAAUUUGAAGUUGGGAAAAAUUAUGAUCGUGGAUCGUGGAACGAAUAAAUACUAAGCAAGUGUAGUAAAGAUUUGGAGGGCGAUGAAAAGCAAGCGACGAGGAGUCAAGGCCGCCGACGGAGGUGGCACCAAGGGGGUGAAAUUCCAAGUUCAGGACCUUUCGAAGGAUCCUUGCUCGCAACGGGACACCAUAGGGAGCGUUUGGCUAUUCGUGAAGAUCGGAUUUUUCGAGACGAGUUUUUCUUUUAGAAGUAUGGAAAUAUAAGAAACGAAGGAAAGAGAGUCUUAUAUGUAAAAUUCGAUUAAUAAUCUCGUUUCUAAUUGAGAUAUUAUGUGUUUCAAAGAAUCUUAAUCGAGCAAGAAAAUUAUACAUUGUUAUUUAAGUACAUUAUA